rnacentral:lncRNA from 1 species
GACUCCGCGCCCCCUGCGCGUCUAGAGCGGGUACCCCCAUGCGGAGGGGAUCCUGGCUGUUCCCAAGUCUCGCGUGCCUGUCGGGAGCCAGCGCGGGCUGGGCAGCAGAUCUCAACCUGUGACUGUGACGCGGCCCCUGCCCGAGAUGCUGGCGUCUUGUGCGAAAGUUUGAUUUUUCACACAUCUGCAAGGGGCUGGGAGCUUUUCACAUCGUGCUGUGCGUUGCAGUAGUUAGUUUUUCAGAUUAGGUAAUUCAUACUGUCCAUUUCUGAAACUGAAGUAUGCACAGCUUCAAUUCUGUGCAGGGAGGAUACAGCAGGAGAGAAUAUCCUGGGCACAUCUUUCUGGAGAAUCACUUUUACUACAAAAUUUGUAAAAAACAAAUUUAUUUCCAAGGGUGGCCAACUUGAAUGUCUUCACCUGCCAGAGUCAAGGAAAAGGUCAGUAAGACUAUGCUCCCUUUACACAGUUACGUCCCAGUUACUCCCCAGUUACACUGACCUGGUACCUGGAUAACUGGUGAGUAAGCUGGUCCAGUGUUCCCACCACCUCCAGUAAGCUCUGAUUCUAGAUUCAUUCCCUGCUCCAACACAUACUGUGUGUGCAGCCUUGGGCCUGCAGCCAGGCCUCCCUGAAACUGUUUUCUCAACUUGAAGUGUGAUGGGAACCACACUUGCCUCACUGGGCCUCGUGAGGUCUCAGUUAUAUGUGGCUGUUACCAUUGUU